CCCCACCCCAACCAUCGCUCGCUAAAUUUUCUGUGACCGUUUGCUCGGAUUUGCAGGUCGGACGAGCUCGUUGCCCACAUUGCGCAGUUGCCGCCGGCUGCGGAGAUUGUUCGCACCAUGGAUGAGAUCUCCAACACCGUUUGCUCAGUCAUUGAUUCGACGGAGCUGUGCAGGAACACACACCCAGAUAGGGAGUUUGCGGAGGAAGCAGAUAAGGCAUCGAUGAG